rnacentral:rRNA from 1 species
GAUGAACGUUGGCGGCGUGCCUAAUACAUGCAAGUCGAACGGAGAAUUUGAUGUAGCAAUACAUUGAAUUUCUUAGUGGCGAACGGGUGAGUAACGCGUUGGUGACCUACCCCAAAGAGCGGGAUAACGGUUUGAAAAGACCGCUAAUACCUCAUGUGAUCAUAUGGAUUAGAAGCCUAAUGAUUAAAGGAGCUUGCUCCGCUUUGGGAGGGGCCAGCGUACCAUCAGCUGGUUGGUGGGGUAACGGCCUACCAAGGCGAAGACGGGUAGCCGGUCUGAGAGGAUGAUCAGCCACAAUGGGACUGAGACACGGCCCAUACUCCUACGGGAGGCAGCAGUGGGGAAUUUUACGCAAUGGGCGAAAGCCUGACGUAGCGACACCGCGUGAGCGAAGAAGCCCCUUGGGGUGUAAAGCUCUGUCAGCUGGAACGAAAAAAUAGACGGUACCAGCAGAGGAAGCAUCGGCUAACUACGUGCCAGCAGCCGCGGUAAGCUCGUCUCUA